rnacentral:snRNA from 1 species
GGGAAAAGGAUUGGCUCUGAG